UACGGAGGAGGCAAGCGUUAUCCGGAAUUAUUGGGCGUAAAGAGCUCGUAGGCGGUUCGGUAAGUCGGGUGUGAAAACUUUGGGCUCAACCCAAAGCGUGCACUCGAUACUGCCAUGACUAGAGUUCGGUAGGGGAGUGGGGAAUUCCUAGUGUAGCGGUGAAAUGCGCAGAUAUUAGGAGGAACACCGGUGGCGAAGGCGCCACUCUGGGCCGAAACUGACGCUGAGGAGCGAAAGCGUGGGUAGCAAACAGG
rnacentral:rRNA from 1 species